GGAUUAGAUACCCUGGUAGUCCACGCCCUAAAUGAUGUCUAUUAGUUGUUGGGUCUUAACUGACUUAGUAACGCAGCUAACGCGUGAAAUAGACCGCCUGGGGAGUACGGCCGCAAGGUUAAAACUCAAAGGAAUUGACGGGGACCCGCACAAGCGGUGGAUGAUGUGGAUUAAUUCGAUGCAACGCGAAAAACCUUACCUACACUUGACAUGUCAAGAAUUUGCCAGAGAUGGCUUAGUGCUCGAAAGAGAGCUUGAACACAGGUGCUGCAUGGCUGUCGUCAGCUCGUGUUG
rnacentral:rRNA from 1 species